UGCAAGUCGAGCGGACAGAUGGGAGCUUGCUCCCUGAUGUUAGCGGCGGACGGGUGAGUAACACGUGGGUAACCUGCCUGUAAGACUGGGAUAACUCCGGGAAACCGGGGCUAAUACCGGAUGGUUGUUUGAACCGCAUGGUUCAGACAUAAAAGGUGGCUUCGGCUACCACUUACAGAUGGACCCGCGGCGCAUUAGCUAGUUGGUGAGGUAACGGCUCACCAAGGCGACGAUGCGUAGCCGACCUGAGAGGGUGAUCGGCCACACUGGGACUGAGACACGGCCCAGACUCCUACGGGAGGCAGCAGUAGGGAAUCUUCCGCAAUGGACGAAAGUCUGACGGAGCAACGCCGCGUGAGUGAUGAAGGUUUUCGGAUCGUAAAGCUCUGUUGUUAGGGAAGAACAAGUGCCGUUCAAAUAGGGCGGCACCUUGACGGUACCUAACCAGAAAGCCACGGCUAACUACGUGCCAGCAGCCGCGGUAAUACGUAGGUGGCAAGCGUUGUCCGGAAUUAUUGGGCGUAAAGGGCUCGCAGGCGGUUUCUUAAGUCUGAUGUGAAAGCCCCCGGCUCAACCGGGGAGGGUCAUUGGAAACUGGGGAACUUGAGUGCAGAAGAGGAGAGUGGAAUUCCACGUGUAGCGGUGAAAUGCGUAGAGAUGUGGAGGAACACCAGUGGCGAAGGCGACUCUCUGGUCUGUAACUGACGCUGAGGAGCGAAAGCGUGGGGAGCGAACAGGAUUAGAUACCCUGGUAGUCCACGCCGUAAACGAUGAGUGCUAAGUGUUAGGGGGUUUCCGCCCCUUAGUGCUGCAGCUAACGCAUUAAGCACUCCGCCUGGGGAGUACGGUCGCAAGACUGAAACUCAAAGGAANUGACGGGGGCCCGCACAAGCGGUGGAGCAUGU
rnacentral:rRNA from 1 species